rnacentral:rRNA from 1 species
AUUGAACGCUGGCGGCGUGCCUAACACAUGCAAGUCGAACGAAGUGGGGCACGGGCGAGUAAUUUAUAGUUAAUCUGCCCUCCACAGAGGAACAACAGUUGGAAACGACUGCUAACACCUCCUAGUGUAGGAUGAGACUAAAACGUAUCAGCUAGUUGUUAAGGUGAUGGCUUACCAAGGCUAUGACGCGUAACUGGUCUGAGAGGAUGAUCAGUCACAUUGGAACUGAGACACGGUCCAAAAUCCUACGAGAGGCAGCGGUAAGGUAUAGUGCGCAAUGGGGGGAGCCCUGACGCAGCAACGCCGCGUGAAGGAUGACACUUGUCGAGGCGUAAGCUCCGUUUAUCAGGAAAGCGGUACCUGAUGAAUAAGCACCGGCUAACUCCGUGCCAGCAGCCGCGGUAAUAC